GAUUAACGCUGGCGGCGUGCAUAACACAUGCAAGUCGAACGAUGAAACUUUAAUGAACCCUUCGGGGAGAAUUAAAGCGGAUUAGUGGCGAACGGGUGAGUAACGCGUGAGUAACCUGCCUUACACAAGGGGAUAGCCUUUGGAAACGAAGAAUAAUACCCUAUAAAACCAUAAAAGCACAUGCAAUUAUGGUCAAAGUGAUAGCGGUGUAAGAUGGACUUGCGUCUGAUUAGCUAGUUGGUGAGAUAAAAGCCCACCAAGGCAACGAUCAGUAGCCGGCUUGAGAGAGUGUACGGCCACAUUGGGACUGAGACACGGCCCAGACUCCUACGGGAGGCAGCAGGGGGGAAUUUGGCACAAUGGGGGAAACCCUGAUGCAGCGACGCCGCGUGAUUUAGAAGGCCUUCGGGUUGUAAAAAUCUUUUGUAUAGGAAGAAAAUGACAGUACUAUACGAAUAAGGUCCGGCUAAUUACGUG
rnacentral:rRNA from 1 species